AAUGAACGUUGGCGGCGUGGAUUAGGCAUGCAAGUCGAGCGAGAACUGUAGCAAUACAGGGAAAGCGGCGAAAGGGAGAGUAAUACGUAGGUACCUACCCUCGGGUCUGGGAUAGCUGCGGGAAACUGCAAUUAAUACCGGAUGACGUCUCUGGACCAAAGGUGUGAUUCCGCCAGGGGAUGGGCCUGCGUCCUAUUAGCUAGUUGGCGGGGUAACGGCCCACCAAGGCAAAGAUGGGUACGGGGUGUGAGAGCAUGCCCCCGCGCACUGGGACUGAGGCACUGCCCAGACACCUACGGGUGGCUGCAGUCGAGGAUCUUCCGCAAUGGGCGCAAGCCUGACGGAGCGACGCCGCGUGCGGGAUGAAGGCUUUCGGGUUGUAAACCGCUGUCAGUGGGGAGCAAAUGCAUCAGGGUUCUCCCUGGUGUUUGAGCGAUCCGCAGAGGAAGCACAGGCUAAUUCCGUGCCAGCAGCCGCAGUAACAC
rnacentral:rRNA from 1 species